AACGACGCUGGCGGCGUGCCUAACACAUGCAAGUCGAGCGAGAAAGUCCCUUCGGGGGCGAGUAAAGCGGCGGACGGGUGAGUAAUACAUGGAUAAUCUUCCCUCGAGCCUGGGAUAACCCUGCGAAAGUGGGGCUAAUACCGGAUAAGACCACAUGACACAUGUCACGGGGUAGAAGGUGGCUUGUAUUUAUAUGAGCUAUCACUUGAGGAUGAGUCCAUGGCCUAUCAGCUAGUUGGUGAGGUAAGAGCUUACCAAGGCUAUGACGGGUAGCUGGUCUGAGAGGACGACUAGCCACACUGGGACUGAGACACGGCCCAGACUCCUACGGGAGGCAGCAGUGGGGAAUAUUGGGCAAUGGGCGAAAGCCUGACCCAGCGACGCCGCGUGGGUGAUGAAGGCCUUCGGGUUGUAAAACCCUUUCGUGCGGAAAGAAUAGUCUCGUAGCGAAUAACUAUGGGAUUUGACGGUACCGCAGGAAGAAGCACCGGCUAACUCCGUG
rnacentral:rRNA from 1 species